rnacentral:lncRNA from 1 species
GUCAAAUUAAUUUGCUGGUCCUUUCUGUUUUCUUCACUCUUAGAAAAGCACCAAAUGUUAAACAAAUAGCACAUGGCUGAGAAAAAAAAUAAGUGUGCGGUUCCUGAGACAAGUGAUGCUCUGAAGAAGUGGGUUGAUUGCGGAGAUUCUCUGGUUGAUGUGGUUCGAGUGAAGAAACACUGGCCUAUUCUGUUUUCACUACUCGAGGUACAACUCUAA